GAUGAACGCUAGCGGCAGGCUUAACACAUGCAAGUCGAGGGGUAGAGUAGCAAUACUUGAGACCGGCGCACGGGUGCGUAACGCGUAUGCAACCUACCUUUUACAGAGGGAUAGCCCAGAGAAAUUUGGAUUAAUACCUCAUAGUGUAGUUUUUUGGCAUCAUUAGACUACUAAAGUUCCAACGGUAAAAGAUGGGCAUGCGUCCUAUUAGCUAGAUGGUAAGGUAACGGCUUACCAUGGCAACGAUAGGUAGGGGUCCUGAGAGGGAGAUCCCCCACACUGGUACUGAGACACGGACCAGACUCCUACGGGAGGCAGCAGUGAGGAAUAUUGGACAAUGGGCGCAAGCCUGAUCCAGCCAUGCCGCGUGCAGGAAGAAGCAUCUAUGGUGUGUAAACUGCUUUUGUACGGGAAGAAACACCCCUUCGUGAAGGGGCUUGACGGUACCGUAAGAAUAAGGAUCGGCUAACUCCGUGCCAGCCGCCGCGGUAACAC
rnacentral:rRNA from 1 species